UAGGGAAUCUUCCGCAAUGGGCGAAAGCCUGACGGAGCAACGCCGCGUGAGUGAUGAAGGUCUUCGGAUCGUAAAACUCUGUUAUUAGGGAAGAACAAAUGUGUAAGUAACUAUGCACGUCUUGACGGUACCUAAUCAGAAAGCCACGGCUAACUACGUGCCAGCAGCCGCGGUAAUACGUAGGUGGCAAGCGUUAUCCGGAAUUAUUGGGCGUAAAGCGCGCGUAGGCGGUUUUUUAAGUCUGAUGUGAAAGCCCACGUCUCAACCGUGGAGGGUCAUUGGAAACUGGAAAACUUGAGUGCAGAAGAGGAAAGUGGAAUUCCAUGUGUAGCGGUGAAAUGCGCAGAGAUAUGGAGGAACACCAGUGGCGAAGGCGACUUUCUGGUCUGUAACUGACGCUGAUGUGCGAAAGCGUGGGGAUCAAACAGG
rnacentral:rRNA from 1 species